rnacentral:rRNA from 1 species
GAUGAACGCUGGCGGCGUGCCUAAUACAUGCAAGUCGAGCGAACAGACGAUACGCUUGCUUCUCUGAUGUUAGCGGCGGACGUGUGUGUAACACGUGUAUAACCUCCCUAUCAUACUGGUAUCACUUCGGGAAACCGGCUCUUAUACCGGAUAAUCUUUUGCACCGCAUGGUUCAAAAGUGAAAGACGGCGUUGCUGUCUCUUCUAGAUGGAUCUGGGCUGCAUUAGCUAGUUGGUAAGGUCCCGGCUUAUCAAGGCAACGAUGCGUAGCCGAACUGAGAGGGUGAUCGGCCACACUGGAAGGGGGACAGGGACCAGACGCCUACGGGAGGCAGCAGUAGGGAACCGGCCGCAAUAGGCGAAAGCCUGACGGAGUGAGGCCGAGCGAGUGAUGAAGGUCUUCGGAGCGUGAAAAUCUGUUAUUAGGUAAGAACAUAUGUGGAAGUAGAUGUGGAGAGCGUGACGGUACCGGAUCAGAAAGCCACGGCUAACUACGUG